GUGGCGGUUAACCCCCCUCUGUGCCACAGGAAGUGGAACACACCUGCAUCCUGGGUAAUAACGGCCCUUAUUCAGCCAAUGGGAGCCGUUUAGGAUGCACGGGAGUGCAUGUGGGACUCUGCUCUACACCUCGUUCAGCCAUCAGUGAGUGUGCUGUGGAUGGCCCGUCCUCCUGCCUGCGUUGAUAGAUCUGCUCAGAUUUCACGCCCUUGACACACAGUCUUCAGCCCCAGGUGUUGACAGAGCUCACCUCACAGGAGUCACUAGCGCUGGACUCACAGACGCUCGGGCCUUUUCAGGGUGGGAUGCCGUGCCGCAGCAGCCGGAAGGACACGGUGACUCUGAUCCUGUGAAAUAUUUUUAUUAUCGUUUAUGAGAACAGCUGGCCAGCUCCAGGCUCUUAAAUCGGACACUGACAUAUCAUUUUUGAGAGCAACAGGGUGACUGAGGUUCCAUAAA